GAUGAACGCUGGCGGCGUGCCUAAUACAUGCAAGUCGAGCGAACAGACGAGGAGCUUGCUCCUUUGAUGUUGGCGGCGGACGGGUGAGUAACACGUAGGUAACCUCCUUAUAUUACUGGGAUACCUUCGGGAAACCGGAGCUAAUACUGGAUAAUAUUUCGAACCGCAUGGUUCAAUGGUGAAAGAGGCCUUGCCUAUCCCUUAUAGUUGAACCUGCGCCGUAUUAGCUAGUUGGUAAGGUAACGGCUUACCAAGGCACCGAUACGUAGCCGACCUGAGAGGGUGAUCGGCCACACUGGAACUGAGACACGGUCCAGACUCCUACGGGAGGCAGCAGUAGGGAAUCUUCCGCAAUGGGCGAAAGCCUGACGGAGCAACGCCGCGUGAGUGAUGAAGGUCUUCGGAUCGUAAAACUCUGUUAUUAGGGAAGAACAAACGUGUAAGUAACUGUGCACGUCUUGACGGUACCUAAUCAGAAAGCCACGGCUAACUACGU
rnacentral:rRNA from 1 species